rnacentral:sRNA from 1 species
GCCAGGCAUGGUGGCUCACACCUGUAAUCCCAGUGGCUCGGGAGGCUGAGGCAGGAGGAUUGCGAGUCAGCAAUUUAGCGAGGUCCUAAACAACUCAGUAAGACCCUGUCUUUA